GUAUGCAUCUUUCUAGACUACCUGAAGGGAUUAGAAAUUUGCGUCGCUGCAUGAUCGAUUUAAGAGGCUCCAAUGUACAGGAGUCACUUGAUUUAAGUCUAAAUCUUGGAAAUUUGUGGCGUCUAAUAAUGAUUGAUUUAAGUUGGAGCAAAAUAAAGGAGUUACCUGAUUCAAUUUGCUCUUUGGAUAACUUGAGAAUUCUAAUUCUUCAUGGAUGUGAGUGUCUUUCUAGACUACCUGAAGGGAUUCAAAAUUUGUGUAACCUACACACGAUUGAUUUAAGUGGAAGCAAAGUAGAGGAGUUACCCGAUUCAUUUUGCUUUUUGGAUAAUUUGCAAACUCUAGAUCUUAAAGGAUGUGAGUGUCUUUCCACACUACCUGAAAGGAUUGGAAAUUUGCAUCACCUACGGAAGAUUGAUUUAAGUAAGAGCAAAAUAGAGGAGUUACCUGAUUCAAUUUGCUUUUUGGAUAACUUGGAGACUCUAAUUCUUCAUAGAUGUGAGUGUCUUUCUAAACUGCCUGAAGGGAUUGAAAAUUUGCAUAAGUUAAGAUUGAUUGAUUUAAGCGAGUGCAAAAUAGAAGUAUUACCUGAUUCAAUUUACUCUUUGGAUAACUUGGAAAUUCUAGACCUUAAAGGAUGUGAGCGUCUUUCAAAACUUUCUGAAGGGAUUGGAAAUUUGCAUAAGUUAAGAUUGAUUGAUUUAAGUGAGUGUAAAGUAGAAGUGUUGCCUGAUUCAAUUUACUCUCUGAAGGACUUGGAAAUUCGACGAUGACACCCGAAUUGACGAUUGGCAAAUUGGGAAAUCAGUAAACUUGUGGAUCAAAUUAUUGUGUAGGGUGGGGAUGAUGCAUGCCUAUCUCGUCAAGGCUGAAGGUAUGGUGAAGCUAAUCACUCAUCUGCAGCUUUGUUGAAGCGUUUGAGUGAGUGUUGUGAGUAGAUAGAUGGGGAAGUUGAAGUAACACCAAGGAGAGAGGGGAUCGGAGGUGUGAAUUAUCCAUUGAAUUGAAAGAUCCAAUCCGAUCCAAUCUUCUAAAAGCUGUAUUACAUACAACGUAACUCACUCCAUCUUUAAUUUGUUUGAGGAGGCAGCAAAGUCUCACAUUAAUGGAGGCUCCCGCGCCGGGGGUCCUGAUAUGAUGCAAACUUCAUUAUGUUUUACAUGGAUCGUUUGCUGCGCUGGCGGAAGACUAUAUUGUUCCUAGGAAUAUUUCCACGUUCCGAGGUUGGACAACAAAACUUUUAAGAGGGCGAGAGUUCAGAGAGAUUAGAGCAAGAGGCCGGAUUUGGAGGGGGAACACUGUUUGAGGAUCGGUGCUUCAUCCUCUACUGUACCAGUAAUGGAAAACACUGUCAGAAACACCUGAUUACAUGCGAGGAAGUCAUCAGGAGCAAACACUUGGAGACGAAUUCUGGGAGAACCCGAACAACAUUGCAGCAGUAGAGGAGGUUGAGCGCGCUAUUCUAAGGAAACAAAAACUCUAUAACAUACCAAGUUUUAGCUUGGCUCUGACACAAAUUAAACCCAGCCUGCACCGUCUUGGGUGGGUAUUGUAAACAUUAUGAAGGAUUGCACCACUAAUGAGGUAGAAGGUGAUGCCUCCACUGACAGAGAGGGCGAAGAAGGGAAUGCCAUACCUGAGAAAUCGACAGAGAUGGGCACAAAUGAGGACAUAGGAGUGGAAGCCUGUAUUGGGCACCAACACAGUGUAAAUGAAUGUGAUUAUAGAACACCUUCUCCAUAGAUACAAAUCCCACACCAGGAUAUGUUGAGUGCACCAGAAGAAGUCUCACCAUUUGUGGCACCGCUAAAAAUGUUACCUGCAGAUCCAAAAAGAGCACUACCACUAAUAACAUGUGCAAAUUUAAUUUGUUUGCAGCAACUUUGUCAGGCACUGUGGAGAUGUCUUAUGGCAUUGUGUUUUAAACCAACCAGACCCUAACAUAAAUGAAGAAUUAUUUGCACAUAAUGGGAGGACCGCACUUUUGUCGGAUUUCCCAUCUUUAUAGUACAACUCAGAAGCGCGAGUAUGUGUGAUUGAUGAUAGGGAGGAAAUGAAAUAGAGGGUUGGGACAAGCCUAGUCGGUUUUUUGCUUCUACCUAAGUAUUCAACACUACUAUGCAAAUAAAGGCGACAUAUUUAAUUUUAUGGCUUAAUCCUCUUUAAGGUUGCAUAAAUAUAUUUUAUGCUAUUGUUGAUUAUCAGUAUUAAUCAUACAAUAGAGUUAUUGUAGGAAAUUAUUUAGGUGAUUUGGAGGCAUUGAUUGUAACAUCAUGCAUGUAAAUUGGAGCACAAUUAAAUGUGUUUUGAAGUCAUCUCAGCACAAAGGCAUGUUCCGAGAGUCAUGAGAGGUCAAGAAAAUUAUAAAGAGCUAGUUGGAAGUAUGAUGACAUGAUCUGGAGAUCCAACAAAAUUAACGAGAUGCAUUUUGAAGCGAAGAACAUGGGUGACGCUGGCAUUCACUUGAGGGAAAUCUUGCAAAUUCUGGAAUUAUG